UACAGAGGGGGCAAGCGUUAUUCGGAAUUAUUGGGCGUAAAGGGCGCGUAGGCGGCCUGACAAGUGGAAGGUGAAAUCCCUCGGCUUAACCGAGGAACUGCCCUCCAAACUGUUUGGCUUGAGACCGGGAGAGGUGAGUGGAAUUCCCAGUGUAGCGGUGAAAUGCGUAGAUAUUGGGAGGAACACCAGUGGCGAAGGCGGCUACCUGGACCGGUACUGACGCUGAUGCGCGAAAGCGUGGGGAGCAAACAGGG
rnacentral:rRNA from 1 species